AUCACUUCUCAGCUUUUUGGCUAAGAUCAAGUGUAGUAUCUGUUCUUAUCAGUUUAGUAUUUACCAUAUUUUAAAAAUAUAUGAAAAUUUUAAAAUAUUUUAAAUAUUC
rnacentral:snRNA from 1 species